rnacentral:rRNA from 1 species
AGAGUUUGAUCCUGGCUCAGAACAAACGCUGGCGGCGUGCCUAACACAUGCAAGUCGUACGAGAAAGUCGGCUUCGGCCGAUGAGUACAGUGGCGCACGGGUGAGUAACGCGUGGGUAAUCUACCCCUCGGUCAGGAAUAACCCGCCGAAAGGCGGGCUAAUACCCGAUAACACUGACGCUCUGCGGAGUGUCUUUCAAAGAAGGCCUCUGUUUACAAGCUUUCGCCGGAGGAUGAGCCCGCGUACCAUUAGCUAGUUGGCGGGGUAAUGGCCUACCAAGGCUACGAUGGUUAGCUGGUCUGAGAGGAUGGCCAGCCACACUGGAACUGAGAUACGGUCCAGACUCCUACGGGAGGCAGCAGUGAGGAAUCUUGCGCAAUGGGGGAAACCCCGACGCAGCAACGCCGCGUGAGUGAGGAAGGCUUUCGGGUCGUAAAGCUCUGUCAGAUGGGAAGAAAUGGGUGAAGGUCAAUACCCUUCAUUCUUGACGGUACCAUCAGAGGAAGCACCGGCUAACUCCGUGCCAGCAGCCGCGGUAAUACGGGGGGUGCAAGCGUUGUUCGGAAUCAUUGGGCGUAAAGCGCGCGCAGGCGGCUUGGUAAGUCAGAUGUGAAAGCCCUGGGCUUAACCCAGGAAGUGCAUUUGAUACUGCCUCGCUAGAGUACGGGAGAGGAAAGUGGAAUUCCUGGUGUAGAGGUGAAAUUCGUAGAUAUCAGGAGGAACACCGGUGGCGAAGGCGACUUUCUGGCCCGAUACUGACGCUCAGGCGCGAAAGCGUGGGGAGCAAACAGGAUUAGAUA